GACGAACGCUGGCGGCGUGCCUAAUACAUGCAAGUCGAGCGGACGAAUCGAAAGCUUGCUUUUGAUUCGUUAGCGGCGGACGGGUGAGUAACACGUGGGCAACCUGCCCUGUAGACGGGGAUAACACCGAGAAAUCGGUGCUAAUACCGGAUAACACGAAAUGUCGCAUGACGUUUCGUUGAAAGACGGCGCAAGCUGCCGCUACAGGAUGGGCCCGCGGCGCAUUAGCUAGUUGGUGAGGUAACGGCUCACCAAGGCGACGAUACGUAGCCGACCUGAGAGGGUGAUCGGCCACACUGGGACUGAGACACGGCCCAGACUCCUACGGGAGGCAGCAGUAGGGAAUCUUCCGCAAUGGACGAAAGUCUGACGGAGCAACGCCGCGUGAGCGAAGAAGGCCUUCGGGUCGUAAAGCUCUGUUGUUAGGGAAGAACAAGUAACGCAGUAACUGGCGUUACCGUGACGGUACCUAACGAGAAAGCCACGGCUAACUACGCG
rnacentral:rRNA from 1 species